UAUAAGGGAUUUUAAGAUUUUGCUUGCAACGUUUGACCACUCGUCUUAUUUAAAUUUUUUUGAAAUUAUUAUUUAUUUUAUAUGUGACUUACUUUAUUAUCUACAGUACUUUUAAGUAUAACUUUUCGUUUUUUAUAUUUGCAAAAAAAAUUGAAUAAGACGAGUGGUCAAACGUUGCAAACAAAAAAUUAAAAUUACUUAUAUU
rfam:Oryza rufipogon genomic scaffold, chr01